UCCACGGUUAGGGCAGGGGCCUGGGGCUCAGAUGUUCCUCAUAGGUAAGGAAUGGAUCUCCUGGUUGGCCCCUCCCAGAUUCCUUAGCUCAGGACUGGGAACACAUUCAGGUGCGUCAGCCACGCAGGGUCAUUCUCAGUGUGCUUAAGUCAAGUUAUUGCUGUCAGAAGAGGAAACCGAGACAAAGUGAAGUUACUUCCCCCAAGUCACCUAACAGGGAUUCUGGCAGUAGAGAAGAAGAGAAGCUGCAGCUACAUGGAAAUGGAAGCCUCAUGUACAUGCAUGUGUCAUAGGGACUGAGGCAAGUGCCUUUUUUGCUUUCCUGAGCUGUAGUGAGCCAAACUUGAUCCAAAUGCUUGGCAUCAGAAUAUAAUUUCUUGAGCUUUACCCUCUGUAUUCUGAAGAGCCAUCAGUGAGCCUUGACUUUGGGAUUCUCUGCAGAGCCGUUGACUGAACCGAGAUAGCCUGAUGACAUCGGAAUGAUCUAGCUUUAAAUCAUACAGGUACACAAUUUUUGCAGCAUUCCAGAUUCAGAGAACAAAUAUAUAUCUUUGCUUCCAUGUGAUAGGCAUUAUUUUUUUUUUUAUUUUGCUAAACUUCCUUCAUUUCAGUUAGUAUCUGUUAUGGAUUGGAUUGUGUCCUCCCCAAACAAGAUAUGUUGAAGCCCUAACCUCAGAACCUCAGAAUGUGGCCUUAUUUGGAAAUAGGGUUGUUGCCCAUGUAAUGAUUUAAGUUCAGGUCAUAUUAGAGUGAGGUUGGUCCCUAGCCCUUAUGACUGGUGCCCUUGUAAGAAGAAAGUCAUGUGAAGACAGAGACAGAGAGAACCCCAUGUGACAGAUGAUGAAGGCAGAGACUGGAGUUAUGUAGCCACCAGCCAAAGGAUGCCAAAGAUUCUCAGCAAACCACCAGAAGCCAGAGAGAGGCAAGGAAGGAUGUUCACCUGCUGGUUUCAGAGGGAGACUAGCCCUGCUGACAUCCUGAUUUUGUACUUCUAGCCUGCAGAACUGUGAGACAAUACAUUUCUGCUGUUUUAAGCCACCGCCUAGUUUGUGGUCCUUUGUUAUAGCAGCCCUGGGAAACAAAUACAAUGUCACAGCCCGGUGGUCCUGCUGUCAGAGGCUGCGUGAUGGAUGUUGGCCUGGUAACUGCACUGGGUGGCCUCCUUAGCACUGUCUACACAUACCGACCCCUGGCUUCAUCAUGGCCAGGAAACGGCUCCCCCAGACUCAGCACCUCAAAGCCAAGGCCCAUGCCUAGGCCAAUGAGAAAUGGCAGUGGAGACUGAGCAUUGCCUUCCUCCUAGGUUCAGAAUGCUUUCCAGUUCCUGCUCCAUGAACUGGUAUGGUCAGUGCGGAGUGGUAGAAGCAAGGUCCUCAUAACAAACAACUAAUCCUGACUGGCAGCAGCAGAAGCAGUAGAAUGUUGCUCUAGGAUGCCCAAGACAACUUCCAUACAGCAGCUUUUCAUGUCCCACCAUCUCCUUUUCUAUUUUGUCUCAAUCUCUUUUCUGAUCAUAAUACCAGGCCCCAUUCCUUUCCCUGUAUACUUUCUUUAGUUGAAUAUGUCUCUAAGCUUUUGUCUUCUGUCACCCUUAACUCAGACAUAGUCUGGUCCAGCCAUAGUUGCUAGGGAUGGCAGCUCCUGCUUUGUGAGAAGCAUGACCUGUCUGCUUCUCAACAGUUUGGUUCCACCAGUUUCAGGGACAGAAGAGGGUGUGUACCAACCAAUAAGGACAAUUACUUAAUGGAUAAAUCUUGUCUAUUUCACAAAACUUACAUGUCCAAGCAGUAGCCUGUUGGAACUUCUAUGACCUACUGCAGAAAACCAGAUUACCAUUAGGGCUACAUAUCUUCCAUUUUAGCUGUUUUUUUCUUAUUAUUACUUGACAUCUCACAUACCCUGUUAAUAGGAAGUCCAGGGUCUCCCUCGGGAAGCAACAUCUCUCCCUUCACCUGUUUCUGCCUUUAUCCUGAUCAAUUUAAAGAAUCUGAAGCCAACUCAGUCUACUUCUAAAAGAUAAGUCAGUCCUUUUUUCAAAUACCAAAUAGAACAGAUUCAUGAUCAGAUUUUGCCAAGACCUGUCAAUAUCACCAAGUGCUGCCCCUGGAAAUGACUACCACUGCGCAUCAUUCAGUUCUGACCUGGACUAGGGUAAGGUACCUAGCAAAGUCCUUUCCCCUUGGCCACAGUGAUUGGUUUAGAGUAGUUAUCUGACCUGAACUGGAUCACUUGCAUGAAGUACAAGACUUCGGUUCUAUGUUUGCGGGAAGAAAAGUGAGCCCCUACAGGUCUCGACGUCUUGACGAAGAAUGACAGCAGCCACCCUGGAUCAAGAGCAAGACAGAGGAUGAGGCUGCUGCCUUGCAAGACAAAGCCUAGAAAUGGAGGGACCAGGAGCCUCUGCGGCAUUGCUGGGUUGCUGAAUCCACUCUUGCAGGGAACCCAGAACAUGCUGAAUGUUUCAAUUACACAAGGGAAUGAAUAAAGGCCAUUACGGUAAAAGAUAGUUU
rnacentral:lncRNA from 10 species